UGAAUACGCCCCCUGAUCUGCUUCUGCCUGGCCCAGAUUAAUUGAUGUAAACCGGGUAACCUAUGCUACCAGUAAAGAGAAAAAAGUUAAGAAAAGGAAAAAAAAAAUCUAGAAGAAAAAGAGAUUCAUCCAAUCACUGAUCGUGCUGCAGUGAGAGACACCCCUUAGAGCCAAUAGUAGCGGCGCAUUCAUAAGUCCCGCCCACUGGUCGCGCCGGCGCUGCUUUCAGCGUGAGCAGAUGAGAGAGAGAGUCAGAGCAGAUCAGCACAGACAGUUUCUCUUGAAAAUCCACUGAUCUAACUGGAAAUGUGAUUGAGUGCACUAAAAGUGGAGCUUUUGAAGUCGAUGCGUCAGCCUGAAGUGUUGUCGCCGGAGACAGAGAAGAGAGAGAGAGACGGAGCGGAUCCCAGCGUGUUGAAGCACUGUACAGACAUUUUAUAUUCAUCUGUUUACAUUUAUUGAGGUAAGAAGACAAAUUUCUAAGAAAAUGAAUGCGUAUUAUUUCCAUCUCUUGUUUCUUGUUUCUUGACAGACUGAAAGGAAAAGGACAGUGAUUCCCAAACCACAGAGAAAUUAAUGUCUGUUGAUGAGUAUCAAGCACAACCUCGACAGAGACUCAGAAGAGGCUGAAAUAAUGGAGGAAAACGGAAAAAUUGAGAAAUGACAACAAAAAAAGCUACCAAAUCUGAUAAAUGAAGUGAAGAUGGCCCUGAAGUCUCUGUUUGUCAGCAUCAGUCACGUAACUUGGAAGAUGGGACAGGAUUUGCCACAGAGUAAUUACAGAGCCCUUCCAGCAGAACAGGAGCAACGUUGCAGAAAGUGUCCUCAUGUGGUGCCUGCCAGCAUUGGUACAGCAAAUAAUGCCAAACUUACUGAAAUUAGAGGGAAGAAAACACAAAAAUAUCUGAAAACCUUAAUGGUGUUUGAUGAUUGAUAGCCAUGACAGUGUGUUCAAGGUAUUUUGUUGUUGUUGUUGGGGUGUGUGUGUGUUGUCUUCACAAAGUUCAGUUUGAUAUCAAGUUGUAAUUUUAAAUUACUCUUGUGGAGUAUAAUUUGAUUGUGUCCCUUUGAUUGUGUUGAAAUAUUUCUGAUGCAAAUUUGUGCAAGUAAUUGACUGAAAUCAUAUAUGAUUUGUAUAUGCAGAGAUAUUGUAAUAUUUAAUGGAAUCAUGUAAGACAAUUAUAUGUAGAGAUAUGAGGAAUUGGGUGGAAACAUAUAAAAUCUGUAUAAAAUUCAUAUGAGCAAAUGAUGCAAAAUUUAAAUGAAUCCUAUAUGACUUGCAUAUGAUCCAAUCAAGAAUUUUAAAUGAUUUGUAUAGGAAAUUUACUGACAUUCAUACACAUUUUCUACUAAAAUCAUAUACUAUUACAUACUGUUGUCAUGUAAAACUCAUAUAAAAAUUUACAAUAUUCAUAUAUGACCUAAAAAUCCCAUAUAAGUUGUAUGUGUGCUUUUUAGUAUGAAAGUGGCCAUAAUCGGUCUGAUUUUGUAUAUGACAUGUAUUGGACUUACAUGAAACACAUAAGGAAAUGCUGGCUGAUUUGAGUAAGGAAGAUAUAUGGUUGCUGUAUAUGAAACAUACAGAUUUUUUUCAUAUGGGUACAGAUAACUCAUUAACAUUUAACUAAACCAGGUUUGUGACAAGUUAACGUGUGGCUCCUUUAGACGUUUUGUUCUUCCCUAUACAUUUGACAUUAUUAAUCAUUAUUAAUCAGCAUAUUAAGAACAUUUCAUAAUAAACAAUGUUAGGCUAUAAUUUGAAAAAUUAUUUAGAGAUGGCAAGGAAAGACAAAAUACUUUGAAAUUACUAGUUACUAGUU